CAAUGCUACUGGGACGCAGAGGUGAAGAGGUGCCACCACCGUCAAGAGGCCUUGGAGAAAGACCAUGGCACGUUAAAGAUAGUGUAGCUGAGGUUCAGGGAAGUAAAACAUCAAGGUCUGAUGACAACCAAGUAUUUCCGAAGUCCAAAAGACCGUACAAGGUCCAAAUUCCGCAGCCCAGAAUGACAAGUCCUCCAUAAUUCUAUCCCGCUCUAUCGAGGCAUCAGAAUUUCGUGAAUAUUCAGCCACUAACUGGCAAAGUUCAGCCUGGAUGUUCAGCCAUUAACUGCUGUGUAAUUAUGGACCAGUUACAGUUUUCUCUGGGCUUUGAUUUUUCUCAUUUGCAGCACUCAGUUGAUUUCAAAAUUAAA